UGGGGUGUAGCCAAGCGGUAAGGCACGGGGUUUUGAUCCCCGCAUGCGCAGGUUCGAAUCCUGCCACCCCAGCCA
rnacentral:tRNA from 1 species